CGCCAGGCAGCGCUCAGCAUUGUGGGAUCGCGCCGCCAGCCCGUCCAGCCGUUCCCGUUGGCCCCGCGGGCGGAGCGCAGGCAGCGGGAGCGGGGCCGCCGCCGGGAGACAUCUUGCCGCCGGGAGCCGCGCUAGUGCUGUUCCAGACCCAACACAGACAAAAUGUCCAGCAGGGGAGGAAAGAAGAAGUCAACCAAGACUUCACGCUCUGCAAAAGCUGGAGUCAUAUUCCCUGUUGGAAGAAUGCUACGUUAUAUUAAGAAAGGCCAUCCGAAGUACAGAAUUGGUGUUGGUGCUCCAGUGUACAUGGCUGCUGUACUGGAAUAUCUGACAGCGGAAAUUCUGGAACUGGCUGGAAAUGCAGCAAGGGACAACAAGAAGGGUCGAGUCACUCCUAGACACAUCCUGUUGGCUGUAGCAAAUGAUGAAGAAUUAAACCAGCUAUUGAAAGGGGUCACCAUAGCCAGUGGUGGAGUGUUGCCCAAUAUUCACCCAGAGCUGUUGGCAAAGAAGCGGGGCUCAAAAGGAAAACUGGAAGCCAUCAUCACUCCACCUCCAGCAAAGAAGGCAAAGUCUCCAACACAGAAAAAAACUGUAUCAAAGAAAACAGGCGGCAAGAAAGGAGCACGGAAAUCCAAGAAGAAGCAGGGAGAAGUAAGCAAAUCAGCCAGUGCUGACAGCACAACAGAGGGAACUCCUGCAGAUGGCUUCACAGUCCUGUCCACAAAAAGUCUGUUCCUUGGCCAGAAGCUGAACCUUAUUCACAGUGAAAUCAGUAAUUUAGCCGGCUUCGAGGUGGAGGCCAUUAUCAAUCCUACCAAUGCUGACAUUGACCUUAAAGAUGACCUAGUUGCAAGUUGUACAGGCUGACAUUGCCACGAUCGACAGUGAUGCUGUCGUUCACCCGACAAACUCUGACAUCUACACCGGUGGUGAAGUAGGUGGCUCAACAAGCUGGGCAGUUACCAAGUAAAGCAGCCCGCUGCACUCACGAGACUGUUUCAUUCCUGGUGCCACCUGUUGGGGUCAGGGACCAAGAUCAGGAAGCACUUUGGAAAAGAAAGGCGGCAAGGAGUUUGUGGAAGCUGUCAUUGAGCUUCGGAAAAAGAACGGACCCUUGGACAUAGCUGGAGCUGUUGUCAGUGCUGGCCAUGGAUUGCCUGCAAAGUUUGUGAUCCACUGUAACAGCCCAGGCUGGGGCUCAGACAAAUGUGAGGAGCUGCUGGAAAAGACAGUGAAGAACUGCUUGGCUCUGGCUGAUGAAAAGAAGCUGAAAUCAAUUGCAUUUCCUUCAAUUGGCAGUGGCAGAAACGGUUUUCCAAAGCAAACAGCUGCGCAGCUGAUCCUGAAAGCCAUCUCCAGCUACUUCGUGUCAACAAUGUCCUCUUCAAUCAAGACGGUGUACUUCGUGCUCUUUGACAGUGAGAGUAUAGGGAUAUAUGUGCAGGAAAUGGCCAAACUAGAUGCCAACUGAGCAUAGAAAGCUGCAGUACCAGCCCCUUUCUACCCUUCCUCUUCUCCAAAACCUUAACUCCUCGUGAAACAGAACAUCCCUUAUUUUAAAUUUUGCUCAUCUAGGGAAAUAAAGGUGGUUUUGUUUUGUUUUGUUCUGUUUUGGGAUUCAUUUUAGUUUUGUUUUUUACUUUCUAAACUGUUUUAUGUUGGCACUGAUAGUUGGCAUUACUGCUGUUAAUGCACUGUGUACCAGGCAUCGUCUGAACUUAGUGUAAUCUAGGAGAUUUUAUAGUUUUAUUUUAAUGAAGUAUGGGUUGAAGCAGGAAGCUGUUAGGAAAAUGUAGUCUUUUACUCGUGACAGAAACAGGCCGACCCUAUUUUGUAACUGUGUUGUGGUGCUUUAUCAAUACAUCGAGUGGCGUCCCUUUCAUUUUUUAAAAGAACAGAUGCUAUAAACCUAAUUUGUGUUUGUUUAUUGUCUAAAUGAUAAAUCUGGAAGAAAAAGAUGCAGAGACCCUCUUGUCCUUAAUUAUAUUUACAAUUUUGAGAUCGUGUGAAUUGAUUUAGUAAAAUGUUUGAACUGUU